CUACGGGAGGCAGCAGUGGGGAAUAUUGGACAAUGGGCGCAAGCCUGAUCCAGCCAUACCGCGUGGGUGAAGAAGGCCUUCGGGUUGUAAAGCCCUUUUGUUGGGAAAGAAAUCCAGCCGGCUAAUACCUGGUUGGGAUGACGGUACCCAAAGAAUAAGCACCGGCUAACUUCGUGCCAGCAGCCGCGGUAAUACGAAGGGUGCAAGCGUUACUCGGAAUUACUGGGCGUAAAGCGUGCGUAGGUGGUCGUUUAAGUCCGUUGUGAAAGCCCUGGGCUCAACCUGGGAACUGCAGUGGAUACUGGGCGACUAGAGUGUGGUAGAGGGUAGCGGAAUUCCUGGUGUAGCAGUGAAAUGCGUAGAGAUCAGGAGGAACAUCCAUGGCGAAGGCAGCUACCUGGACCAACACUGACACUGAGGCACGAAAGCGUGGGGAGCAAACAGGAUUAAGAUGCCCUGGUAGUACCACGCCCUGAACGAU
rnacentral:rRNA from 1 species